UUUUCAGGGAAAACAAAUGAUUAAACUUCUCAAUAUUUGCAUUUUCCCAUCAGCAUGCAUCCCAAGUCUGCCAAGGGAAUGGCAGGGGGUGGCACUGCCUGUCGUAUCUCUGCUUUUUGAAAAGAUCAGAACCCAAGCCUCCUGAUGGCACAGCCAUACUGCAGUUUCCACAGCAGAUCUCAGAAAAGAUGUUCCCCAUGAGAGUUAUUUAUACAGCCAUUUUCAGGGAUGGUUUGUUCUGGUUUAACCCCUUCUGGUAUCUCAGUCUCCCUCAGUAACUCACUCAAUCCCACCUGGUGAGAUGGGAGAGAAAAAGUUGAAAAAACAACAGUGAGAAAACUUGAGGGUUGAGGUAGUUUAAUGGGAAAACAAAAAGUCAUGAGCACAAGCAAUGCAAAACAAGGAAUUCAUUCAGUGCUUCCCAUCGGCAGGCAGCUGUUCAGCCAUCCGCCAGGAGAGCGGGGAUCCAUCACGUGUAAUGGUGACUUGGGAAGAUAAACUCUAUCACUCAAAAUGUCCUCCCCUUCCUCUUUUUACCCCAGUUUUAUAUGCUCAGCAUGAUGCUAUAUGGUGUGGAAUAUCCCUGUGGUCAGCUGGGGUCACCUGUCCUGGCUGUGUCCCCUCUCAACUUGUGGUGAGAAGCAGAAAGGGCCUUGACUCCAUUCAAGAACUGCUUAGCAAUAACUAAAAUAUUCCUGUGUUAUCGACACUGAUUCCAGCACAAACCCAAACCAGAGACAUAUACCAGCUACUGUGAAGAAAAUUAACUCUCCUCCAGUCUAAACCAACACACUAGUCUAUGAUACAACCACAAAGACUUAUUUCAAAUUGAUGAAAUAUGCUGGCAUGGUUGAGAAAUUAGAUCUAUCUAAAUGAGGUGGAGGCUGGCACAUACGUACCAAAUCUAGUGCCUGUGAGCUCAGAAUGUGCUAUGAAAUGUUCAGUGUGCUAUGAAAUGUUCAACGUGCUAUGAUAUGUUCAGUACUGUUGGCUGAAAAGACUUGAGAAAGCACAAAGAGCUGCUCUGCCUGUCUUAUCCACAGGCAAAUGGCAAUGCAUUUUGCACAUUAAUAGAGGAUUCCUGAGUUUGAUCAUGCAUCCUGAAGGUGGAGAACUCGUGUUAGCAGGGAAUUGUGUGGAAUGAUAGUACCAGUGUCUUGUGGGACUUCCACAAUUUCAAAUAAUCUCAUCACACGUAUGUCGGAAGGAAGUGCUAAUUAAAGUGUAAAAGAGCAUAUGUGGUAUUUGUGAAGCUGUUAUCCAAAGCUGUAUUGCUGUAUCUAUUAUGCAUUGCAAUUAGUCAUAGUUUAAUGAGAAAAUAAGAUAUCUGAAGUCUGCUCAUCUAAAACUACACACCCACCCCCCCAAAAAAAAGAAAACAGUCACAGUGCAUCUGUAAUGCAGUAAUGGGAAAAGUAUCACUUCAGCAGGUGAUUUUGCUGUUGUGAUUUUGCUUUGAUCCAGAUAAAGAGUCAAACUGAUUUUCAAGCUUUUAAAACUGGAAGUGGCAAUUGAGUUGUUGGUGUGGAAGACGGGAGGAGGUGGGAUCAGAUGUUAUAUAUAGAUGUUCUUUGCGUGGCCCACAUUAAUAUGCUUCUUCAUGUGCCAUAGGUACUUAUCCCACUGGGAUUUUUUGUUAGUAAAAUUGAAGGAAAAGAAUGAAACGUGCAUCUUUAAUUGACAUAUAUGUAUGAUAUCGUGCUGGGAUAAAGAAUUAAUUCACUGAAAAAUUUCUAGAUUUAACAACAAAAAAGUAUUUAUAAUGGCCUUAUCUUUCCUUAAAUGUUUUAUAUGAUUGUAUAACUUCAGCUGUAUGAUUAGAUCUCUUCUAUUAAAUGUUAUCUAAUAGUUAUGAUUCCCUGGCUUUGCAGUGUAGUGAGGAUUGUAGGGUUUUUCUUUGUUCACACCCCAUCCCUCCCCAGUGCAUAUAGGAUUUAAACUGGCUAAUAAAAAUGUGAUGUUAAUAUUAGGAAAAAGUAGAAGAAAAUAAAGGGUAUUUUAGAACUAACUUAUGGUGGUACAAUGAUUUUUGCAGCAUCCAAAAUCAGCACUCUCCACUGUUCUAUCCACAGAAUCCACAGCAGUAAAAAAUGAGGUGAAAAGCAAUAUUGGUACAGCAUUUUCUUAAUGGUUGUUUCACAGCCUAUGAAAGACAACAUAUUUCAGGAAAAAAAUGGUUUAAACCCCUGAUUUAUAAUGACUUACCUUAGUGAUGCUAAUUUUUUAAAUUUUAACCAUCUACUUACUCUAUACUUACUGUGAGUUUGACAACAUUUCUUGGUGCUUACUUUUAUCUGUAGGAUCCCCUCUUUCUGCAUCUUCUUCUCUUUUAUUUAUGAAAAAUUUUCCUUUCUAAGUCAGCGAAACAGGGAAUUCUAUCACAGAUAGACCUCAGGAAAAACAGGUGACGUUCCCAGAAAGUGUCUAAAUUUCCUGUACCCAGUACAUUUUAUUAGUAGAUAGUCUUCCAUUUCCAUGUGUUUAAAAUACACUGUAGAACUCCUAAAUAGAUAGAUUGGAAAGUACCUCUCUUAUUUUAUUUUUUUAUUAAUGCAGGAUUUAGCACUAAAUAUACCAGAUACUAUUUUCUUUUUUCACCUGUUAUUGGAGGCUUCUGGGGUACUUGUUCCUCAAUAAUAUUCCAGAGCCCUGAACUCAUAAUUAGAGCUGGGUGAAUUAUUCAUCCCAAACAAUAGUGAAUUUAUGCUCCCCAUUUCCUACAAGAACACUAGUUGUUAUUAUGGUUACUGAGUAGGGCAGCAUGCUGCUUUCCAAGGGUUCUCAAUUUCUGGGUUACAAGGUGCAUCUAUGAAUUCUGUAUUCUGAAUCUUUUGUUUUCUCCUCAGAGGGGAUGGGGUAUGUUGUUCCCUCAGGAACAGCACUAAGGAGUUACUCCUCAUUAUUUGCCUGGUAACGCUGAGGCAAAGAAGAGGUUUCUGAAGGUGUGACCUUUCCCUACAGGCUGUGGCUUCCAGAGUGUUUGUAAACCCAUCUGAACUGAUCUGACCUGAGCUGGAGGUGUUGAUGUGGUCUGGCAGCUUGCUUGCUGAGUUCCAUGGGGUGGCUUUCCCUGGAUCAACUCACUUGUGCACAUAGUUUGUCAUGAUUUACCCCUGAAGGGCAGCUCAGCUUCCCUCAGCCACUCACUUCUCAGUGAAGUGGGCUAGAGAAUCAUCAGGGUAAAAGUGACUCAUGGGUUGAGAUAAAGACAGUUUAAUAGGUAAAGCAAAAGCCGUGCACAUAAGCAAAGCAAAACUAGGAAUUCAUUCACCACAUUGGCAAGCAGUAGUUCAGCCAUCUCCAGGAGAGCAGGGAUCCAUCAUCCCUAAUGGUGUCUUGGGAUCACAAAUGCCAUAACUCUGAACAUUCUCCCUCCCAUCUUCUUCCUCCAUCCUUUUUUGGUAAGCAUGACCCUAACAGAGGUUGAGAGGAGAGAAUGGCUCCCUCACUCCUAUUCUCUGGAGAUGGGGCAGAUAGUGCAAGCCCUGGUGCUGGUGUCAGAGAUCACACUAUGCAUGCUCCGAGGUUUGGUGGUGAAAAAGCAGUUUAUUCAAAUCGGCAGAGGGUUUUUAAGGGUUUUGGAGGAGGGCUUAGGAAGGGGGCUGUGAUUGGGUACAGGCUCGGGGGGAAGGGGGUGGUUUGGGGACUCAGCUAGCCAACGGUGGAAACAGGAGGAUAAGAAUCCAAUAGAAACCCAGGAAUUGGGGACAGACAGGUGAAACGACCAGUGGGGUUAAAACAGGGGUGGGGACUGGCUCAGUAAAGAAGACAGCGUGGUACUGGGUGAGAGAAUAACAAAGCCAAAGGGGAAACCGUACAAUAAAACCGCAAAUAAACUGUAAGUGUUUCCAAGUCGCCUAAUUCUGGAGAGCCACUGCCAUGGUGGUCCUGUUCCUAAAGGCGUUCUUUCCAUGAUUCAUAGUCCGUACGUCUCCCACAUGACCCCACAAGGUGUGGGAUAUCCCUGUGUUCAGUUGGGAUCAGUUGUCCUGACUCCUUGUGCCCCCCCAGACCACUCCCUGGUGUGAGAAACAGAAAAACCCUCGUUGCUGUGUAAGCAAUAACUGGAACAUCCCUAUGUUAUCAACACAGUUUUAACCCCAAAUCCAGACCAUAGGCCCACACAAGCUGCUAUGAAGAGAAUUAAUCCUAUCCCAGCCUGAACCAGAGCAUCAUUUUACCUUACUACGUAUUCAAUCACAUGUCUUUGAGUCUGACUGCUGUGACUGCAUGGGAGAAGGGCUGAUGCCAGAGCAGCCCAGCAUGGAAAACAGCAACAGGGUUUUGCCUCUUCCGAUGGUCCUCUGUAUGCAGAGUCAGUGCUGUUUAUGGAAAACACUCCUCUUUCACUCUUGUUUUGCUCAGUAGUGCUCAUCUCUAACACUGUGAUGCUGUUUAAGUAAUUUGUCAUUGUCUUUUCUCCUUUUUGGUGUUCAAACGGGAGAAAAUUUUGGGGAUUAGUUCGAUGGUGCCUGCAGGAAAGUUACUCUUGCACUCAAACUGUGAAUCUCAAGUGUUCCCUCAGAUAUAAGGAAAAUAAGUUUUCCUUAAAGAAAAGAUGAAAUUCCCAGCUUUCGUGUUUGCAGACAUAAAUUUACAGUGAGAGGAGUGUACAGUCUAAAGAACUGAAAUACAAAAAGUGUUGAAAAAAGGAUAGAAAGAACCAAGUCUCUAAGAAAAUUGCUGUAUUUUGGGUGCUUAUUGUAUUCACAUGAUUUAUGAAUAUAUUUUUCUUGCAACUACCUUCACAGAAUGUAACAAAAUAAAUUUGAAAUGGUUUUUGGUGCUAACACAACGAUGGUUAUUCUCUAUAAUUUUAUUUAUUUAUUUUUUAAAUCCUAUAUAAAAUCAAUAUGAAUUUGGGGAUUCUACUUCUUUCCCAAUCAUCUACUUCUUGCAUCCAGACUCUCAAAUGCCAGCAAUGAACAAUGCCUGAUGUUUUAAUUUAUGCAUACAUUUUGUUUUAUUCAAACAGAUCAAUUUUUGUAGCAAUUAUUCUGUAUUAAAGUUAAAUCUCUGUGUUUUGUUUGGCUGAUUUUGUUUUAGUUUUUUUCCCCUUAUCAUUGCUAAUAAUUGAUUUAGCAAAGAUCAAAAGUGUUAAAUGAAGGGUAAGCAGAUCCUUUGUCCUAGUUAGAGCAGCCGGGACCUGUUCAUCACUUUGUGUGUAACCCAAAAUGUGUAUUCUACACCCUCUAUGUCAUUUCCCAGGAACUGUUAACAACAGACCACUUGCAGCAGCUGCCCAGAGCACAUCUGACCCCUCAGGUUAUAGGCUGGGUGUUGGGAAGCCUGUGAGAUAGGAGGAUGUUCCUAUCCUCACACCAAUGACUCAGGGACUCAGAUGUGAUACCUCCCCUCUGGGGAGUCAUUAGCACCUCCACACCCAGCCUGAGGGGUCAUGUCUGCUAAUGGGACACCAAGGAUUCCCAAAAUAUCUCACGACUCACAAUCACCCAUUGUGGAAUUCCUCGCCCUGGGGGAGGUAUUGGGCAUUCCCACUUGAACCUGAGUGUAUUUAAUCUUGGGAUCUUGGGACUUCUGGGCCCGCCCACUUGUCAGAUCCAGAAGAGGACCAGAACCUCGACCAGAUUGCAACCAACAUUCUCACCAACAGGUUUUCCCUCUCCUUUUACGUUGGACUCAGGGGGACCACGUGAGGCUCAGCUCAGGGGCCAGUGAACACCAUUCUGUUCGUGCCCGAGGGUGUUGGGUUAUACAUCUGGAUUUUGUGGGUUAAAACCAAUUUUUUGUCUGUAAAAUUGUAUUUAUUGUAUUAUUUUUAUUAAAUUGUAACUCUGACUUAUAA